rnacentral:rRNA from 1 species
AUACGGAGGAUCCGAGCGUUAUCCGGAUUUAUUGGGUUUAAAGGGUGCGCAGGCGGCCAUUUAAGUCAGCGGUUAAAUCGUGGGGCUCAACCCCAUUCUGCCGUUGAUACUGGGUGGCUUGAUUGCGGUCGAGGUUGGCGGAAUUCGUUGUGUAGCGGUGAAAUGCUUAGAUAUGACGAAGAACACCGAUUGCGUAGGCAGCUGACCAGACCGCAAAUGACGCUCAUGCACGAAAGUGCGGGGAUCGAACAGGAUUAGAUACCCUGGUAGUCCGCACAGUAAACGAUGAAUACUUGUUUUCGGCGAUAUAAUGUCGGAGGCAAAGCGAAAGCGAUAAGUAUUCCACCUGGGGAGUACGCCGGCAACGGUGAAACUCAAAUGAAUUGACGGGG